rnacentral:rRNA from 1 species
GGGUCAGUAGGUUGGUCGUGCCACCGGUACGUACUGGUCUCACUGAUUCCUCCUUCCUGAAGAACCGUAAUGCCAUUAAUUUGGUGUUGCGGGGGAACAGGACUGUUACUUUGAAAAAAUUAGAGUGUAUAAAGCAAGCUAACGCUUGAAUACAUUAGCAUGGAAUAAUGAAAUAGGACGAUCGAUCCUAUUUUGUUGGUUUCUAGGAUUGACGUA